GACGAACGCUGGCGGCGUGCUUAACACAUGCAAGUCGAACGAUGAAGCUCCAGCUUGCUGGUGUGGAUUAGUGGCGAACGGGUGAGUAACACGUGAGUAACCUGCCCCUCACUCUGGGAUAAGCCUGGGAAACUGGGUCUAAUACUGGAUACGACCGAUCUCCGCAUGGAGUGUUGGUGGAAAGUUUUUGUGGUGGGGGAUGGACUCGCGGCCUAUCAGCUUGUUGGUGGGGUAAUGGCCUACCAAGGCGACGACGGGUAGCCGGCCUGAGAGGGCGACCGGCCACACUGGGACUGAGACACGGCCCAGACUCCUACGGGAGGCAGCAGUGGGGAAUAUUGCACAAUGGGCGAAAGCCUGAUGCAGCGACGCCGCGUGAGGGAUGACGGCCUUCGGGUUGUAAACCUCUUUCACCAGGGACGAAGCUAACGUGACGGUACCUGGAGAAGAAGCACCGGCUAACUACGUG
rnacentral:rRNA from 1 species